rnacentral:rRNA from 1 species
GAUGAACGCUGGCGGCGUGCCUAACACAUGCAAGUCGAACGGACGGACAAUAAGCUUGUGCCUUUACUGUUAGCGGCGGGCGGGUGAGUAACACGUGGAUCACCUUCUUAUUUUUCGGGGAUAAUUACGGAAAACCGCAUACAAUACUACCUAAUAUUAUCAACCGCUGGAUUCAAAGGAUCAUCACGGCUUUGGGGUCUGUAUUAGCUGGUUCCGGGCUGGAUUGUCUGGUUGGUAGGGUAACGGCUUACCAAGGCGACGAUGCGUAGCCGAGCUGAGAGGGUGAUCGGCCACACUGGAACUGAGACACGGUCCAGACGCCUACGGGAGGCAGCAGUGGGGAAUCUUGGGCAAUGGGCGCAAGCCUGACGCAGCAACGCCGCGUGAGUGAUGAAGGUCUUCGGAUCGUAAAGCCCUGUUAUUGGGGAAGAACAGAUGUGGAAUAAAACGUGGCCAUCUUGACGGUACCUAAUGAAAAAGCACCGGCUAACUACGUG